GAUUUUGUCACAACAAAACUAAAACGCACCGGAAAUUAAGCAGACUUUCGUUGUCUGUGUUUGGGUGGAGCACUGCUGAAAAGAGACUGUAGAGGUGAUCCUCGGAAGUUGCCUAUUUUUUAACGACGUUCAAUAAGCGCAUCAUGCGAGUCUGCUACUUACUCUGGAUAUUUUUGGCAGAAACAUUAGGUAUGUUACUAGUGGAUACACAAAUGUUAUUGCUAUUAAAAUAUUAUUUAGCGUUAAUUCAAUGGGAUUUACAUGGACAUUAUUUAGUUUCAGAGUCUCUGAUGUGUGACAGUAGUUGAAAAAAAGUCUAGCACUUUGGUUUUUGGAGAUUAGUUUGUAUAAUUUGCACAGGUGCCAUAAUUUAAGAAAUCGUCAAAGUGAAAUAUUUUUAUUCUGAGGAUUUCAAUUUACUUUUAUUAUAGCUGUUAUAUUCUCAGUACCAGCGAGUGAGCUUAAGGUUGAUAAAAAUCAUAAUUUUGUACUCUCUCAAAGAUAAAUAAUAGUUUAAGGAUGCAGACAAAAUCGGUCUUUAAAAUUAAAAAGUCUUUAAAAACACACACAAUGUCACUGUAUGUCAUUUUAUCCGCACGCUGUAAAUGCUGGGUGGUUUUAACUCGUGUAGGGUCGAAUAUACAAGGAUCUCUUAAUAAAUAAAAAAUGUAUCCAUAUUGCUUGAAUGAAUUUCUUUUUAAUGUUCUUAUUUUUAUGAUGACUUUAUAGCGUAUCAACAUUUCCGCUACAUCCAAAGGCUUGAGGGUGAAUCUGUGGACAUGUUUUGUGGUGCACAAGCAAGUGCAUCAUUCCCACUAAAUCUGUAUUUACGACGAAGCUCUGCUCAUUCAGAAAGUGUGUUGAACAUCUCUGUAGAUGGAAGUGCAAGAGCAGAAGCACGGACUGAGGGACGCAUCAAGAUUUCUGGACAGUUACACACAGUUACUGUGACCCUUUCUCAUUUAAAACACACAGACACAGGACUCUAUACCUGUGAUUUCUCUGGAAACUUAUCACAUCAGCCUUCAACGAACACAGUUUUCUUUCUGCAUGUGCACACAUCAGGUGAGUCGUGCUCCUGUAGAAGGUUUUCUCUCCUCAUCUACACACUUUCAGCAGGAGUGUGUCUUAUUGUGCUCGCAGUCGCCGCUGUCAUCGUGAUGCACUAUAAAAAACCAUAUGCUCAAACAGCGCCUCCAAUUUAUGAAGACAUGUCAAGUGUGCAAGGAAAAGGAUGCAGUGCAAACAGUCAACAGGGGCCUCAUUUAUAUAUAAUUACAGAUCGUCCUAAAUGUGUUUGAAAAGGGUCCUCCUGUGUUUUUAUGGCAGUGGUUCUCAAAGUGGGGGUCGGGACCCCUUGAGGGGUCGCGGAACAGUGAAGGGGG